rnacentral:rRNA from 1 species
GAUGAACGCUAGCGGCAGGCCUAACACAUGCAAGUCGAGGGGUAGAAGUUGCUUGCAACUUUGAGACCGGCGCACGGGUGCGUAACGCGUAUGCAAUCUACCUUGUACAGGGGGAUAGCCCAGAGAAAUUUGGAUUAAUACCCCAUAGUGUAUGAAAUCGCAUGGUUUUAUUACUAAAGUUCCAACGGUACAAGAUGAGCAUGCGUCCUAUUAGCUAGUUGGUGUGGUAACGGCACACCAAGGCAACGAUAGGUAGGGGUCCUGAGAGGGAGAACCCCCACACUGGUACUGAGACACGGACCAGACUCCUACGGGAGGCAGCAGUGAGGAAUAUUGGUCAAUGGGCGCAAGCCUGAACCAGCCAUGCCGCGUGCAGGAAGACGGUCCUAUGGAUUGUAAACUGCUUUUGUACGGGAAGAAACACUCCUACGUGUAGGAGCUUGACGGUACCGUAAGAAUAAGGAUCGGCUAACUCCGUGCCAGCCGCCGCGGUAA